CGUAAAAAUUCUGGGGCCCCAUUCCAGACUUUCUCUGGGAACGGAGCCCAGGAAUCUGUUUUUACAUGCUUCCCAGAUUAUUCAUCUGCAUGCAAAAGUUUAAGAAGCAUCUAGUAGCUAGAUGAGCUCUAAGCUGCUUACCGACUUAAAAAAUCUUUGACUAUUUUAUAAAACAAAGAAAGGAAAAGAAGAAGGUAUAGAUAAGAAAGAUUGCCAAAAAAAGAAAAGUUGAAAGAUUUAAUGACAACUUAGAUGAACAAUUAUGGUCACAUUUUAAAUCUAGAUGACCAAGAGGAUGGAACUGUGUUUGAUAUAAGUAAAGAAGCAGGGAUGACUGUUUGCAUGCAGUAGAAGACUGGACCAAAUACAACUUAUCAAUGAACUGGUUUUUCUUCUUGGCAUUGUUCCUAUAGACGCAGGAGCAGAACAGUUCAAUGUACCUUUGUGCUGCAAGAAACUGCUCCAGGAUCACUCAACUGAAUACAGCUACUGGAACACUGAAUAGCUGAUCAGAAGUUGAGAAUGAUCAGAAUGAAAAUUUUGGCAAAAUCAAAGAUACCAUGAUAUGUACUGAUAUGUGUGUGAGUGUGUGUGUAGCAAAAAACUUAAAGCCUAAAAUUGGGAUUCCCACAUGUGAAAAUAGUAAUAUAACUUGAUAAAUCUAUAUAAUGUAAAAUUUCUAUUUUAGAAGUGAGAUUGUUUUAAAUUUUUAAACAGAGCAUUGAAAAGUGACCAAAAAUGGUUAACUGGACAAGCAAAUUUGAACCUUGGCUAAUUUUGGCAAAAGCUUUCCAGCUCUACAAGCCAAAAGAUACCUUUAAACCACAUGAGGAAACUGAAGAUAAAACCAAUGAAGCGGUUUGUCCAGAAUCUCCCGGAUCACUAAGAACAGAACUGCAAUAGAACCACUUUUUCACCAAAUAUGUAUUGAAUGACUUCUUACAGACACAGUAUAUUGAAAGUUAGAGACAGUAAGAUGAACAGGACAUGGUGCUGCACUCAUGGAAUUCACAGUCCAGCGAGUGAAACAGGCACGCGAUGAGAGAUUAACGGGGCAGCACCACAACAAGCCAAGUAUGCGAAGAAACUCUUAUCCUGCUCAUGGUGUUUCAAGAUGAGACGCUUGAUGACAGUGCUCUAAAGGAAAGAAGAUAGAACACAAAAGAAAUAAAUAUAUUGUGAUAUGAGACCUGUUGCAUAUGUUAAAGCUGGCUUUUUUUUUUCUCUUUUUACUCUAAGCCACUUAUUAGCAGGGUCUGUCUCCGUCGGAGGCUCUGCAUUUUUGCUUACAGACUGUCUGACGCCCUUAUGAAAGUGGGCCACUGCAUUGUUGAUUACUGCACACCAGGGUGGUCUGCGAGUCGCUGUUUUCUGCCAUUCCACAGUGAGACAGCAUCUUCUGAAGUUCUGGUCUCAUAUGUCCUUGGAGAAUGGUUUGUGUUUCCUAAGAAGCUUAAGUCUGGAUGAUUUACAUGUAGCGUUUUAAACUCCUGUUGUGUAAUGCCUGGACUGAGAUUUACAUAUGCUGAAAACAGUUUUUUCAGGUCUGGGCAUGACAUUUAGUUAUGUAUUUCAUCGCCUUCCUUCAUUUAUUCAUGUGACUUGAGAAGACACUUGUGGGAGUAACGAG